rnacentral:rRNA from 1 species
GACGAACGCUGGCGGCGUGCUUAACACAUGCAAGUCGAACGGAAAGGCCUGCUUUCCCUUGUGGAUUGCGGGUACUCGAGUGGCGAACGGGUGAGUAACACGUGAGUGAUCUGCCCCCAACUUGGGUAUAAGCCUGGGAAACUGGGUCUAAUUCCCGAUAGGACUGCAGGGUGGUGCCUGUGGUGGAAAACGAUUUUCUAGUGGUUGGGGAUGAGCUCGCGGCCUAUCAGCUUGUUGGUGGGGUAAUGGCCUACCAAGGCGGCGACGGGUAGCCGGCCUGAGAGGGUGGACGGCCACAUUGGGACUGAGAUACGGCCCAGACUCCUACGGGAGGCAGCAGUGGGGAAUAUUGCACAAUGGGCGGAAGCCUGAUGCAGCGACGCCGCGUGGGGGAUGACGGCCUUCGGGUUGUAAACUCCUUUCGACCGCGAGGAAGCCACCUGGUUGGAAGGGUGGUGACGGUAGUGGUAGAAGAAGCACUGGCUAACUACGUG